CGGGCACGGGGCGGGAAGAGGGGUCCGUCAGUGGCGUUUUUAGCUUGCACCCCGCCACGCAGAUUCUCCCUGGCCGGAGAGGAGGAGGGUGGAGGGAAGGCGGAGAAGCCUCGAUUUCUCUGCACGUUCGGGAACGCCUUCUCCCCCUUCGUUCUCCCAUUCCCUGUCUUUUCCCGCUCCUCUGCGGUCUCACCUGUUUAUUUCCGUCAGCUGGAGCUCGCGGUUUUUUAUAUGGGCAUGAGAGUCUGUUUCUUUUAUUAGAAACAUUAUUGGGGAGAGGGGUGCGUUGCUGUAAUAUGUGCCGGUCCAGGUCGGUUUUCAGGCAGGGGGAGGGGACUUGGCGGAGACGCCGGCUUCUGGCCGCAGCUGACCCCAGGGCUUCUCCCUGCCUUCCCGUACGAGGAAUUCUUUCCCUCACUCUGCUACCCGCACACCAGCUGCCACCUUCCUGGAGAAAGACCACACCUGUGCUUAUACCCGCUUUGGAGGAGAGGUGAGCUGAGAAACCAGGGAAUCCCCUGCUCUCCAGGAUUCUUGGUUAUUCCCCUCCCCAAUCUCAGCAUUGGCCAAAAAUUGCUUUCACCUGCUGAUUUCAUUCGACAUGCCUGUCUCCCACCACCCUUUCCCCCGGCAAGUUGUGGUCUGAAAAUGUUUUGGGAUUUUCUCUUCCCUUUGGAUAUGGCCCCCACCAAUCAGCAAAUAGCUCCUGGGCUUAGGUUGAGAGAUAGAGAGGGGGAGGGGGGGAGAGAGAGAGAGAACCCCCUUCGCCUGGUGCGCUGUUUUUUAUUCCCCUCUGGGUCUUCUAAUGGAAUCUGCUCUCCUCCCAUAGCCCCCUUUAUUCUCCCCCUAAGCUUAACCCAGAACCAGGCCUAAACAGCCUGUCUCUGGCGUUCUUUCUCCAGGCCCCACCCUGGCCCCUUUUGCUUUUCCAGAGCCAAAAAACGCCUCCCAAGCAGAAGACACACCCAGCCCCAAGUCUAACCAUUCCAAAAGGGAGGAGAACACAGUGGAAGAACAGGGACCCAAGGGUCUCCUUCUGUCUUGAAUAUUCCAAGCGUUUCCCUCUUCAAGGCUCCUAGCUAUGUAAUCCCUUUUUUAUUAUUACCAAUUGUCUCUCCCAUUCUCUUUGCCCCUUGUCCUAUGAUAGAUAUUUAGGGAGAGGGGUGGAGAAGGAGGUUGUCACCCUCUCUUCCUUGCAGUGAGAUAUUUUUCUUUUUCUCAGACUUUUCAUUUAUUAGAUGUUUAGCAUGUAAAAUAUGUAAAUCUGUUUGCAGGCUUAUUUGAACUUGUUUUCUUGCUGGCUGAGGAAUAGCUGAUACUCUAAAGGGAAGAAGGGGGAAAAAGAUCAAAAGUAAUACUCUAAGUUUUCCCCAUUUGAGCAUCCCCAGAGUUGCCAGAGAAGACCCUCCUGAAAAAACCAAAAGUCUCCCUUCCAUGACAUCACCACCUAAGCCCUUCCAACUUUAGCUUCAGAACAGGAAGAAGGCUCAAAAUAGAAUUACCUUAGGAAUCCAGCUCCUUGAAAAGAUCAACUUUUAAAUCAGCUGCAGGAGGAACACAGUGAACUUUGACAUGGGUAGUGAGCAGGGAGAGAAGGCUGUAUGGUGUGCAUAAUUGGUUCCUUUGGGGGAGGGUUGUGGGAUACUUCCCAUGUAUUUCAGAAAAGCUUUUCUCUAGAUAGAGUUAGGUACCUAGACCUAUGAAUAUUAAAUAGGUUGGUUCGAGAUUCAUUUAUUGAAUUAUUCAUAAGUUUUGGUAUGUCAACAAUAACAAGCACUUAUCAGAAUAUGAAUUAAAGAGGGGCUCCUCUGCAGAGUCUGCUCUAGACAGAGAAGGUUGUUUCAGGAAGAUAGGAGGGAGCACUUAAGGAAGACAGAGAAGCUGAGGAUGCAGUGACAGCUGCUGUAUCCUCACCACUUGCUGGGCUCUGAUCCUUCUUUUUCUUCUGCCUCCUCACGUCUCCAACCAGAAGGGGAUCUUUUAGUCCUUCACUUCAUGGGGAGCCUUCAGAGAGAGUAAUGCAGCCACCAGAAAGGAUGCCGUUUACCGACACAGUGACUGACAGGCUGCCCUGGCUCAGUUAUCACAGUGCUGAUGCUGUCCAUUCUAAAGGUACAGUACUGUGAUAACUGAAGGAUGGCAGCCAUCUUGCCUUCCAUCAGAGGAGCCUCAUCGUGCCCAGGAAGAAAGAAGGCGAAAGAGGAAUGUGAAACAGGUGGCCGGGACCCAGAAACCCUCUUACCCUGCGCCUCUGUCGUAUUUUUUCCUGGGGCAUAGGGAGAGUUAUUCUGCUUCUCUUUGCCUUGUUUUGUAAAAUGGGAUAGUUGUUGGAACAGCAGUGUUGUGCUGAGUGAACAUAUAUUAAGCUGUUUGAAAUCUUUAGGAGACUGAAAAUAGAUAAGUAUUAGUUAAUAUUUCUGGAAUGAUAUUCAGAGAACUUUGUAUCAUUUUUGUAAGUGUGAAAGGUAACCUAAUUAGAACAGCUUGGCUCUUGUCGGCACACUUCUAGAUUUCAAAAUCAGAUUCUACUUACAGAGAGGAAAAAAAGAGUCCAAUAUGUUGAAUGGUAUUGAAAGUAUUGCAUAAAUAAAAGUCCAUCUUUGUAGACUAGCUUAUUGAAGUGAGGAAAGAAAAAAGCAUAUCUUUGUCUUGAAGGAGUAGAUAGUGACAUGUCAUGUUUAUUUCAGGAUAUUUAGGAUCUGGCCUAAUUCAAAAGAAUAUUUACGGAAUGCCCAUGUUAUUGCUGCUGCUGUAACCUUUACAAAAAAAUAAAAUGUAAAUUAUUUUAUUUCU